rnacentral:rRNA from 1 species
GACGAACGCUGGCGGCGUGCUUAACACAUGCAAGUCGAGCGGUAAGGCCCUUUCGGGGGUACACGAGCGGCGAACGGGUGAGUAACACGUGGGUGACCUGCCCUCAGCUCUGGGAUAAGCCUGGGAAACCGGGUCUAAUACCGGAUAUGACUCCAUGACGCAUGUUGUGGGGUGGAAAGCCUUGUGCGGCUGAGGAUGGGCCCGCGGCCUAUCAGCUUGUUGGUGGGGUGGUGGCCUACCAAGGCGACGACGGGUAGCCGGCCUGAGAGGGCGACCGGCCACACUGGGACUGAGACACGGCCCAGACUCCUACGGGAGGCAGCAGUGGGGAAUCUUGCGCAAUGGGCGAAAGCCUGACGCAGCGACGCCGCGUGAGGGAUGACGGCCU